CUACGUGCCAGCAGCCGCGGUAAUACGGAGGAUGCGAGCGUUAUCCGGAUUUAUUGGGUUUAAAGGGUGCGUAGGCGGCCUGUUAAGUCAGCGGUGAAAUCUAGGAGCUUAACUCCUAAAUUGCCAUUGAUACUGGCGGGCUUGAGUGUAGAUGAGGUAGGCGGAAUGCGUGGUGUAGCGGUGGAAUGCAUAGAUAUCACGCAGAACUCCGAUUGCGAAGGCAGCUUACUAAGGUACAACUGACGCUGAAGCACGAAAGCGUGGGUAUCAAACAGGAUUAGAUACCCUGGUAGUCCACGCAGUAAACGAUGAUAACUGGGSGUAUGCGAUAUACAGUAUGCUCCUAAGCGAAAGCGUUAAGUUAUCCACCUGGGGAGUACGCCGGCAACGGUGAAACUCAAAGGAAUUGACGGGGGCCCGCACAAGCGGAGGAACAUGUGGUUUAAUUCGAUGAUACGCGAGGAACCUUACCCGGGAUUGAA
rnacentral:rRNA from 1 species